ensembl:lincRNA
ACUAUAGUGUUUUAGAGUCCAUCCCUGUGUGUUUAUUUUCUCAGAUUUUUUUGGUUGUGACAGAAAACCAGCUCAAAGUGGCUCUUACAAAUGAGGGCAUGUAUUGAUUGGCUUCUGAGACUGCUAAGUGUCAAGCGUCACCUCUUUCGCCUUGCUGUGGACCGUCGUGGUGCAAUGCAUGUACACCCUACGAUGUUAACACCUGGGCCCUAGGACUGACUGACUUUUGCCCACCUGAACUGGGUCAGGGACCAAUAGAGGCAGGAACCCCUGCUUAUCCAAGGAAGUGAGGGUCCGGGACCAGAAUGACAGAUGGAGGCUGGCAGCAAAAACGGGGCAGGAAUGUCUCCUCACCACCUGGGGAGAAUUUUCUUGCACUUUCUGCCCCCAGGAGACAUAAGACAGGAGAGAGAGGAGAGCCCUUCCAAAAGAGCUCCCAUAGCCCUGACCCACUUCACCUUCUAGAAGCUCCUGGAGUACUGUCCUGGGCUUGCUCCCCCUGUGGCCACCCUGCUCCUCUCCAGGGGUAAAACACAUUCAGUGACCAACUUGGAACCCAGCGUGCCUUCCAGCAUCCUCAGGCCUGGGCUGUACCGGUACCUUCAUCUAGCAGCUGAGCAGGAGUCUGGACAGCUGGCACAGAAGUCAGUGGUGAGAAGAGAGCCCAUGGAAACCCUGCAGAGAGUGAGAAUGAGCACAUAUCUCACCUUCCACUUCACAGGCUUGGGGCAGGACUCCCUGGGCAUGGAGGACAAUCAGGGCCUGCCUCUGUCUGUCCUGCACCUCCAGCAUCCAAGGACAUGCACCCACAGUGUGGGUGGCCCAGGUAGAGGUGGUGUGUACCAAGGUCCCUCCACCAAUCCCUGGCCCGAAGGCUCCUCACCAACAAGCCCACGGAAUCCAGGGCAGGUAUGGGAUCCACAAAUCCAGCUGGCCAGGUGGCUCUGGUGUGGCUCCCGGCGUCCACCUCUGCACUAUUCUCCAGCUGGAAUCAGCAAAGCCUUGAUAUCUGUGGGGGAGGCAGAUGGCCACUCAUCUCCCGGAUGCACCUGGGUCUCCCUCAAGUUAAGUGGAGGAGAGGAGGGGUGACGGCUCCCCCUUGAGGUAUGGUCAGCAAGUGAGGGCAGCUGCCCAGACAGGGCACUGCUGCUCCUGCUGCUGGGAAGGCGGUGGGAUGACGGGGAGGGUUCCAGGUGGACACUCAGCUCUCUGCAGGCAGCCUUUCCCACUGUGCUCUGACUCCAACAGGAGCCAUCCGGAGGCCCCCGCCACCUCGGGGGAAGCCUGGGGGAGGGUCUUCAGAUGCAAGGGUCCUGCCCCGAGGAACUUGGUUUAUUUUCUAGCAGCCCCACGUUUCCCGAUCUUCUCACUCUCCUUGACCCGAGGAUUUAAAGCCCUCUCGGUGUCAUUCCUGAACUUGGGUCUUUGCAGUGCCCUCGGGAGCCAGCGCCCACCUGCAGUCCUCACAGUCCUGCUUCCUCAGUGAUGUUGCUUUGAGCUGCUUCUGGAUCUCCCAAACGUGGCGUUCCAGAACCGGUUCUGGGCCAUGACAGCGUUUUGCCACACAGGCAAAGAUGACCACCACCUGUGCUGGCCAAGCUACAGAGAACCACGGACAGGGCCGCGCAGAAAACACAAGUGUCCUGUGGCACUGUGGGGCCCAGAGGCCUGAGGUCAGGUUUCAGCCGCAGGCCCCCCUGGGCUCUGAGGGAAGUCUGUUCUAGACUCUCCCCGCGCUGGUGGCGCUGGCAACCCUUGGCUGCUGGUCUGGGAGGAGGGCUAGCGCUCAACGUGAGUUUCAGGGUCCCAGCUCCCACUGGAACACAACAGCAAGGCUGUUGCUGAGCUCCGUUCCUGUUUGAGGAGCUGCUUCCUGAAUGACUUCUGACA